rnacentral:rRNA from 1 species
AGUGAACGCUGGCGGUAGGCCUAACACAUGCAAGUCGAACGGCAGCACAGGAGAGCUUGCUCUCUGGGUGGCGAGUGGCGGACGGGUGAGGAAUACAUCGGAAUCUGCCCAGUCGUGGGGGAUAACGUAGGGAAACUUACGCUAAUACCGCAUACGACCUUCGGGUGAAAGAGGGGGAUCGCAAGACCUCUCGCGAUUGGAUGAGCCGAUGUCGGAUUAGCUAGUUGGCGGGGUAAUGGCCCACCAAGGCGACGAUCCGUAGCUGGUCUGAGAGGAUGAUCAGCCACACUGGAACUGAGACACGGUCCAGACUCCUACGGGAGGCAGCAGUGGGGAAUAUUGGACAAUGGGCGCAAGCCUGAUCCAGCCUUACCGCGUGGGUGAAGAAGGCCUUCGGGUUGUAAAGCCCUUUUGUUGGGAAAGAAAUCUUUCAGGCUAAUACCCUGGGAGGAUGACGGUACCCAAAGAAUAAGCACCGGCUAACGUCGUG